CCUACGUGUGGCAGCAGUGAGGAAUAUUGGUCAAUGGGCGCAAGCCUGAACCAGCCAAGUCGCGUGAGGGAUGACGGUCCUAUGGAUUGUAAACCUCUUUUGUCGGGGAGCAAGGCCCGCCACGUGUGGCGGGCAGGAGAGUACCCGAAGAAAAAGCCUCGGCUAACUCCGUGCCAGCAGCCGCGGUAAUACGGAGGAUGCGAGCGUUAUCCGGAUUUAUUGGGUUUAAAGGGUGCGUAGGCGGAAGGUGAAGUCAGCGGUAAAAUGUCGGUGCUCAACACCGGCCUGCCGUUGAAACUGGUAUUCUUGAGUGAGCGAGAAGUAGGCGGAAUUCGUGGUGUAGCGGUGAAAUGCAUAGAUAUCACGCAGAACUCCGAUUGCGAAGGCAGCAUACCGGCGCUCAACUGACGCUGAGGCACGAAAGCGUGGGGAUCGAACAGGAUUAGAUACCCCUGUAGUC
rnacentral:rRNA from 1 species